AAAAUUUAAAAUAUGUUGUAAACAAUCUACAAAUUAGUUGAUCCAAACACAAAUAAUCAAGUACAGAUGGUGUUAAUGCUACUUGGGUGGUGAUGGACCUGAGGAAAAUGGAAUGGAAAAGGAAGAUGCAACUGCAGUGAGCUAUUUAACUAAAUCUGAGCUGUCAUUAUGCUCCUGAGAGUCAUUUUUCUUGAAGGCCCUUCCUGUGGGGGAGUAUACAGUGAUAACUCCAGGUUCAAUGAUAACACAUUGGCAUAUGAAGAAACACCGCAUGCUACAUUUUUCUACCUCAUCUAUUGUUUGAAUUGACCAGCUGAUUUGGUCUCUAGACCUGGGUCCUUUUCCUUUCUCAAAACCCUAUUUGAUUCUCUCUCCCUCUCUUGGUUGGUGGGGACAGUUCCUGGUUGGAGGAAGACUGUUUUUAAGACAACAGAACAUGGGUGUCUGCUCUCCUCUACGGGGACCUACAUCAGUAUUAAUACGGUUGGGAACAGAGGCCGUGAUUCCUGCCCAUUCCCUCCCUGCACCACAAACCCUGGGUCAGUUAGGACAGAGGAGGAGCCAGGACCAUGAAAGCUUCACAUGUGAGAUAAAUGCACUCAAAGGCCCCUCACAAGUAGCUUCAGAUGUAAAAUGGAUCACUCCUCAAUCUGUAAUAGACCCUUCCGUGGAGCUCUUCAAUCAAACCUGAGAAUUCAAGGCGUUUUGUAGCAUCCUAAACAGAAGGAUAUUGAAGGGAGCUGAUUCGGCUUUGAUCCUUGUGCUUGUUGUCAAAGCGCUUGGGAUUGAAGAGACUGUUGGCUACAAUUGACUGUGACAAUUAGGAGAUGAUCAGAGCCCUAGAGUGGAGCACUUAAAGGAAUAAUGGAAUGAAUUUUGGCUCAAGAGGAAAGGACUUGCUUUGUUUUACCCAGAGCUGCAAACUCAGUGCCCAGCAAAGUAGUAGGUGCUCAAUAAAGAGCUGUUAAAUGGAUGAAGAAUGAAUAAAAAGAAUGGGAGUGGGGAUGGAUUGAGUAAUGGGCAGAGGCUUAUGCUUUAUCCAGUAAAUGAAGUAGUUUGUAGAAUAAGUCAUGUGGAUAAUAUUUCUAACUUUGCCCCAAAAUUAACCAAGUUCCUUUCUUCUUUGCAUAUCAGUUUAUUGAUGGUCAGUAGGUAGACUAAAAAGAAUUUCAUGUUACAGGGGGAAAAACAAGCCUGAGAUUUAAAAGAAGAAAAAAAAAUAGUGUUAGUUAAUCCAUGGCGUGGGCGAGAGCUCAGCCAGAAUGCUCUUUGGAAUCCAGACAAUUCAGUGACAGUGACACUCUGGUACAAGUGUUGGGCGGGUCAGAUGAGAUAAGUUUGUGACAUGCGCAAUCACUCUCCAUGGGUUUGAUUUUAGACAGUAUUUCAUGGUGACAUUUAAAUCUGCAUGGGAAAUGCUCCCAGUUCCCUGCCUAGCAGGUAUAGGAUUGCACCUUCAACAAAUAUGGGUAUGUUGUGUCCAGUGUAGUUCUCCAGUAUCUUAACAGAUGGAGCUUAUUUUCUAGGAGAAAUAGUGAUUUCAAGGCAGGGAAGCUAUUUAUUUUUACUUUUUAAAAGGAAUACCUUUCUGGCAAGAAAGCAAAUAAACAAGCAAGCCGACGCCACAGCUUUCUCGGAAGGAGUCAGCGCGGCAGGUACUGGAGAACUCCAUUGGCCGGCCUUCGCUUCCUUGUGCUUUUCUCACACUUGCGUUGGCACAGUUGGUGGAGUUUAUUAUUAGCAGUGUGUCCCACAAGCCAUUCAUUCACAGAACAUGGCCCUGGGAGAGAAAUCUCCGUGUGAAAAUAAAAUUGUCAUUGUUUUUCAUUUGCGUAAGGGGCAUUUCACAUAAAGGAAGAACAACCCUAUGUAAAAAAGGCCUCAAUUCGGAAAACAAAACAGAACAAAAAGCAAAGGUGAGGAGAGAGAGAGACAGAUGUUCUCGCUGGAGUCAGAUUGGAACUGAAAAAUGAAGAUUUUGUCUCGUACGAAGCUAGUUGCCUUGCCAGUCUCAAGCUGGCACUGUGGGCCUGCUGGAGCCGCUGAGCCCGGCGGAGGAAAGCAGACAGCGUGCUUCGGGUUUGCUGCUCAGCCUCCCCAUGCGUCUCAAUAUGUUUUUGAUUUUGUAUUUUAAAAACAUGGUGAAUGAUCUCGAAAGAAAACCAUUGCAGGUGAUUUUAUUCUUUGCUUUUUUCUAAGGGACAAUUAAAAGGCAGUCCUGGUCCUAUUCCAGAGAUUUCCUCAUUUCUUAGUACAACUGUAAUUUAGGCACAUAGAAUAGUGCAAUGGUAUUAUUAGAUAUUAUCGUGUUUAUUUUAUUCAUAAAAAUGUGUGACACACCUUAUUUGUAUUCUUUUUGAGGAAAUGUCCUGGAGUGGGUUUUGUCCGAGUUCCUUUCUGUGCCUGUCAUAAGGUGUGUGUUAGAAUGUUAGUUCCUAGGAAUAAGAAUAGCAUUUCUUUUUUUUUGAGAAAGCAUAAUGAUUUCGAGCUUUGAGGAGUUUCAAUGGGCUAUUGUUACUGUGCUCCAGCCUACCAAAUCCCACUGUGACACACUUCCUACCUCCAAUGGGAGAUAUUUAUAUUUCAAAUUAAAUAAAACUAUAAUUAAUUUUCUUUGGAAAAUUUUUGGGAAUGUUGUUUCUUCGAGAUCUAGGAGGUAAUUGGAGAUACCCAGGCUAUCACAAAACCAGGGCUGGGGAUCCCUGCUUUCAUGAUUAGCACUUUGUAAGCCUUUGAAAAAUAUUAAAACCAGGAGAGAUUGUCUAAUUGCUGGGGGGUGGAUUCACGUUAGUAUAGUGUAAUGUGUUAACAAAUACUCAGAAAGGAGGCUGUGGAUCCAGGAAGAUGGCUUUUGCCCAAAUUAAUUCAAAGACUAGCAGGAACCAUUGUGUAUUGGGGCAGAAGGAAUAAGGUGACUCAAUUAAGCGAUAGAGAAAUCUCCAGGAAAAAAAAAAAUUGUUUUAUGUCAACCCAAUACUAACAAUAAAAUUCUCAUUACUGAAAUCGAUAAUCCUCUAAUAAAUGCAUAAUAACUUCAAAAAGGAUUGUAAAGUAUUUUUGUAUGAUUAAAUAUGCACUAAAUAUGGAAAUCAAAUACUGCUUUUCUUUGAGAAUGGUAAGGUUCUCUUCUGUGUCUCUGAAGAGUAUCUUAAAUGAAAAGGAUCAAAAGAGCAAUUUGAAAUAAAUUCACUUGCUGAAUUUGUGCCUGAACUGACUACAUUUCUCUCAUUUACUUUUGGUUUUUGCUUAGCUCUAACUAAGGUGACAUGGAAAAACUAAUGCCACAGUCUCCCGGGUUGCUGGGGGUUUGUACAAGGCAGCAGUGAGCAUGUGAGGUGGUGCGUGCCCAGUAGGGGGGGCCUUGCUCAGUAGGGGGUCUUUGGCGUUGGACUUAGCGUGAAGAAAAACUGGGCAGUCUGGCUCACUGGUACCACUAGCCUGUUGCUAUUUCAUGUAUCCAGGAAAACAAUCUGAUCCCUCUCUACAUUCGAACUUGAGCCCAACAACUAAUAGUGGUGGUUUGAGUGAGUUCAGAAUCCACCUAUUUGAUACGAAAACCUACAUUGGCUCUGUGACUCUCAGAAAUAGUCAGGACAUUUUAGUGGUAUUCAGAGAUACACAGUUCAUAGACCUCCAGCUGUGUCUGCAGUUUGCAAAGCAAAGUAAGUAAACAGGUAGACUGAGAGAGGAUAUGCAACCCUGAACACACUUCUGCUUUGUCUUUUGGCAGAGAUGUCUGGUUUGGGCUUCCGGAGUUUCUUGCCUGGUGUUCUGCAGGAAAAGUCGCAUUCCAGGAGAUAGGCUGGCCUGUCAUGCUGCUUCUGAAAUGUCUAGAGGUGCUCCGACAUCUAGAGGUUUCCUUCCCCAGCCUGUUUUCCUGAGAUAAUCCCCACCACCUGGUUGAUAACACCGGUCA